GCUCAGGACGAACGCUGGCGGCGUGCCUAAUACAUGCAAGUCGAGCGGACAGAAGGGAGCUUGCUCCCGGAUGUUAGCGGCGGACGGGUGAGUAACACGUGGGUAACCUGCCUGUAAGACUGGGAUAACUCCGGGAAACCGGAGCUAAUACCGGAUAGUUCCUUGAACCGCAUGGUUCAAGGAUGAAAGACGGUUUCGGCUGUCACUUACAGAUGGACCCGCGGCGCAUUAGCUAGUUGGUGAGGUAACGGCUCACCAAGGCGACGAUGCGUAGCCGACCUGAGAGGGUGAUCGGCCACACUGGGACUGAGACACGGCCCAGACUCCUACGGGAGGCAGCAGUAGGGAAUCUUCCGCAAUGGACGAAAGUCUGACGGAGCAACGCCGCGUGAGUGAUGAAGGUUUUCGGAUCGUAAAGCUCUGUUGUUAGGGAAGAACAAGUGCAAGAGUAACUGCUUGCACCUUGACGGUACCUAACCAGAAAGCCACGGCUAACUACGUGCCAGCAGCCGCGGUAAUACGUAGGUGGCAAGCGUUGUCCGGAAUUAUUGGGCGUAAAGGGCUCGCAGGCGGUUUCUUAAGUCUGAUGUGAAAGCCCCCGGCUCAACCGGGGAGGGUCAUUGGAAACUGGGAAACUUGAGUGCAGAAGAGGAGAGUGGAAUUCCACGUGUAGCGGUGAAAUGCGUAGAGAUGUGGAGGAACACCAGUGGCGAAGGCGACUCUCUGGUCUGUAACUGACGCUGAGGAGCGAAAGCGUGGGGAGCGAACAGGAUUAGAUACCCUGGUAGUCCACGCCGUAAACGAUGAGUGCUAAGUGUUAGGGGGUUUCCGCCCCUUAGUGCUGCAGCUAACGCAUUAAGCACUCCGCCUGGGGAGUACGGUCGCAAGACUGAAACUCAAAGGAAUUGACGGGGGCCCGCACAAGCGGUGGAGCAUGUGGUUUAUUCGAAGCAACGCGAAGAACCUUACCAGGUCUUGACAUCCUCUGACAACCCUAGAGAUAGGGCUUUCCCUUCGGGGACAGAGUGACAGGUGGUGCAUGGUUGUCGUCAGCUCGUGUCGUGAGAUGUUGGGUUAAGUCCCGCAACGAGCGCAACCCUUGAUCUUAGUUGCCAGCAUUCAGUUGGGCACUCUAAGGUGACUGCCGGUGACAAACCGGAGGAAGGUGGGGAUGACGUCAAAUCAUCAUGCCCCUUAUGACCUGGGCUACACACGUGCUACAAUGGACAGAACAAAGGGCUGCGAGACCGCAAGGUUUAGCCAAUCCCACAAAUCUGUUCUCAGUUCGGAUCGCAGUCUGCAACUCGACUGCGUGAAGCUGGAAUCGCUAGUAAUCGCGGAUCAGCAUGCCGCGGUGAAUACGUUCCCGGGCCUUGUACACACCGCCCGUCACACCACGAGAGUUUGCAACACCCGAAGUCGGUGAGGUAACCUUUAUGGAGCCAGCCGCCGAAGGUGGGGCAGAUGAUUGGGGUGAAGUCGUAACAAGGUAGCCGUAUCGGAAGGUGCGG
rnacentral:rRNA from 1 species